UUUUUGUAUUUUUAGUAGAGAUGGGGUUUUGCCAUGUGGGCCAGGCUGGUCUCGAACUCCUGACCUCAGUGGCUCAUGCCUGUAAUCCUAGCACUUUGGGAGGCUGAGGUGGGUGGAUUGCUUGAGGUCAGGAGUUUGAUACCAGCCUGGCCAACAUGGCAAAACCCCGUCUGUACUAAAAAUACAAAAAUUAGCCGGGCAUAGUGGCAGGCGCCUGUAAUCCCAGCUACUCGGGAGGCUGAGGCACGAGAAUUCCUUGAACCCAAGGGGUGGAGGUUGCAGUGAGCCGAGAUCGUGCCACUGCACUCCAGCCUGGGUGACAGCAAAACUCUGUCUAAAAUAUAUAUAUAUAUGUGUAUGUAUGUAUAUAUGUAUGACUAUAGGUCAGUUCUCUAUGAAAUGUGCAUGCUGUGCUUUCACAGAUCCAGGGACUGUAAGUUAUCCCUAGGUAGACACUUCUUUAUCAGAUAGGCAGUUGGUUGGCUAGUCUCAACUUUUGUUUUUUUCUGGUACGUAAUGUGUUUGGUAUAGACCUUUGGGCCUCAGAGACUCCAGAGGACAUAGUUCAGGCUCUCAAGCUUAAAUUGAAGUAGGGAGCAUCACCUUGUGAGGGAGAAAGGUGGAAAUUGCUUAGCACUUGAACAACUCUCCAAAGAAAAUUCUCUUUCUUUGACUCUGAGAACCUUGAGGAAGGUGUUGGGUUGAGGUGCAAAACCAGUUUUUGGCCACUUUGAAAAUCUUUGCAUGUAAAAAACAGAAUCACAUAAGAGCCACAACACUACUUAUAUAUGAACGUGUGUGUGUUGGGGGGAGGGGCGUUGAGGGAUUAAAAUGCCACUGGGGGGCCAGGCACAGUGGCUUAUGCCUGUAAUCCCAGCACUUUGGGAGGCUGAGGUAGGAGGAUGGUUUUAGGUCAGGAGUUUGAGACUAGCCUAGGCAACAUAGUGAGACCGUGUCUCUACAAC
rnacentral:lncRNA from 1 species